CUAAGAAUAUUCCGCAAUGGACGAAAGUCUGACGGAGCGACGCCGCGUGGAUGAAGAAGGCCGCAAGGUUGUAAAAUCCUUUUGCUGGGGAAGAAUAAGCGCAGGAGGGAAUGCCUGCGUGAUGACAUGAACCGGCGAAUAAGCCUCGGCUAACUCCGUGCCAGCAGCCGCGGUAACACGUAGGGGGCAAGCGUUGUUCGGAAUUACUGGGCGUAAAGGGCAUGUAGGCGGUUAUGUAAGCAUGGCGUGAAAGUCCACAGCUUAACUGUGGGAUUGCGUUGGGAACUAGAUGACUAGAGUUACGGAGAUGGAGCUAGAAUUCCGGGUGUAGGGGUGGAAUCUGUAGAGAUCAGGAAGAAUACCGAUGGCGAAGGCAAGCUCCUGGCCGAUGACUGACGCUGAGGUGCGAAAGUGUGGGGAUCAAACA
rnacentral:rRNA from 1 species